rnacentral:lncRNA from 1 species
AAAACGCCACCUCUCUAAGCCAAAACCCACACUUCUUCAACUUGGCAAAGAGCUUCUUUUUCCGAAGCACUUGAAGUACAAGUCUCAAGUGUUCCUCGUGAUCCGUAUCACUUUGGGAAUAUACCAAGAUGUCGUUGAUGAACACCACGUCGAACCUGUCUAGAUAAGGCUUGAAACACGAUUCAUUAGAUCCAUAAAAACUGUUGGGGCAUCAGUAAGCCCAAAC